rnacentral:lncRNA from 1 species
AUCUUUAAAAUGCGGACAAAAAUAGUAUCCACCUCAUCUGUUAAAAUUAUUUUAUAUAUAGGUAUAUUAGUUACAUAGUAGAUGUUACUGGUUUAUCUAACUGAAAUGAUCAUUUUAAAGAAUAGUCAACUAGAAAAGCAAAGUAUUAUUCAGAAAUGGACUAAUAUUAAACGAAUUUUCUCUUGUAGCAUCCCAUAUCAAGAUGGAUUGCCCGUAAUUUCUAUGAUAGUCCUGAAAAGAUAUAUGAAAGAACAAUGGCCGUCCUUCAGAUUGAAGCUGAAAAGGCUGAAUUACGGGUAAAGGAGCUGGAAGUGCGAAAAUUGAUGCAUGUGAGAGGAGAUGGACCCUGGUAUUACUAUGAGACAAUUGACAAGGAACUUAUUGAUCAUUCUCCGAAAGCAACUCCUGACAAUUAAGCAUUUUUUUCUCCAAAUACAAAGUAUAUUCUCUUUAUUGGAAAAUAAAUUAAUAAAUAU